CCUACGGGAGGCUGCAGUGGGGAAUAUUGCACAAUGGGCGCAAGCCUGAUGCAGCCAUGCCGCGUGUGUGAAGAAGGCCUUCGGGUUGUAAAGCACUUUCAGCGGGGAGGAAGGCGUUAAGGUUAAUAACCUUGGCGAUUGACGUUACCCGCAGAAGAAGCACCGGCUAACUCCGUGCCAGCAGCCGCGGUAAUACGGAGGGUGCAAGCGUUAAUCGGAAUUACUGGGCGUAAAGCGCACGCAGGCGGUCUGUCAAGUCGGAUGUGAAAUCCCCGGGCUCAACCUGGGAACUGCAGUCGAAACUGGAAGGCUAGAGUCUUGUAGAGGGGGGUAGAAUUCCAGGUGUAGCGGUGAAAUGCGUAGAGAUCUGGAGGAAUACCGGUGGCGAAGGCGGCCCCCUGGACAAAGACUGACGCUCAGGUGCGAAAGCGUGGGGAGCAAACAGGAUUAGAUACCCUAGUAGUC
rnacentral:rRNA from 1 species